rfam:Candidatus Kaiserbacteria bacterium RIFOXYB1_FTLL_46_14 rifoxyb1_full_scaffold_10974, whole genome shotgun sequence.
CUUUAAAGAAAGCGUAACAGCUCACUGGUCGAGAGUCCUUGCGCCGAAGAUGAUCGGGGCUCAAGCAUAUUACCGAAACUGCGGAUUUGUACUUUCUUCGGAAAGUAUGAGUGGUAGGAGAGCGUUCGUAUCUGCGAUGAAUGGUCGGGGAGACCCGAUUUGGAGCGAUGCGAAGUGAGAAUGCCGGCACAAGUAACCGCAAGACGGGUGAGAACCCCGUCCGCCGAAAUACCGAGGUUUCCUUUGCUAUGGUGAUCAGCGAAGGGUUAGUCGGUCCUAAGCCGAUGGCGAAUGCCGAAGGCGAUGGAUAGCAGGUUAAUAUUCCUGCACACCACUACGUUUCUAUGGAGGGACGGAGGGUUGUACUUAAAGCAUCUUACUGGAUUGGUGCUGGAGCUAUGAGGGCGUUGCUUAGGUAAAUCCGGGCAGCACAAACCCAAGUAGAGUCUGAAUCUGCGGCUACGGCCAAAGAAAUUUAAGGAGCACGCUUCCAAGAAAAACUUCGUUUGGGUUAAACGUAGCGGUUCCGUACCGCAAACCGACACAGGUGGUAAGGUCGAGAAGACCAAGGCGAACGAGUGAGGGGUCCUUAAGGAACUCGGCAAAAAAGCGGCCGUAACUUCGGGAUAAGGCCUGCCUCUCCGCAAGGAGAGGCCGCAGCGAAAGAUUUCCUGGCGACUGUUUAACAAAAACACAGCUCUCUGCGAAGACGUAAGUCCAUGUAUAGAGGGUGACGCCUGACCAAUGCGGGAAGGUUAAGCACGGGGGGUGAAGUGUCUUCGGAUGCUUUGCUGGACUGUGUAAGCCCCCGUCAAUGUCAGCGAUAACUAUAAUCGUUCUAAGGUAGAGCGUGCUUCCUUCGGGAAGUUCGCUCUACGGAUUAGAACGAUUAUAGAGUUAAACAGCCCGAGCCAUAGUUACCUUAUUAGUGAGUAAUCAUUAAUAUUCCAAAAUGCAACCAACAAGAGACCAAAUGUUGCACACCCCACCUAGCAAUAGAGGGUGAAGAUAGAGUCCUAUUGUGUACGAACAGGUCAAGGCCUGUUCACAAAAGAAGGAAUAAUAGAGCGCAAUUCCUUGUCGGGUAGAUGAACUGCCCGGUUCAGCAGUGAUGCUGUCCUAGUAUGGUAUUCCUCCAUACAGGCAAAUACCUUAGCAAUAAAGUAUUUGCCACUGGCUUAUAACGGUGAAGCCCUAACCAGUGUAUCCACUUCAAGGGUGGAUACAAUACUGAGUGGGUAAUACCGUGGGAAGUCGUCCUAAUCAUGCAACGCAUGACGGAUUGACCCCGUAACGACUUAAUGCACUACCGUACAGUAGUGCAUUAGAUGGAGGCAAUAUAUAAUUUACUUAUAUAUGAAAUCCAUAACACGCCAGCGCUCAAUGCAAACCAGAAAUACGUACGAAUAUAUUUCUGGGUAUGAAAAUACGUGCAAGUAGAAUUGCUUGCUGCAUUGAGAUGAAGAUAUAGUCUGUGCCACUAGUAAUAGUGGAUUAACAUUACUUUUAGUUGCACGGAAGUAAUGAAUCAAUAUGAAGUUCCGACGUGCACGAAUGGCGUAACGACUGGGAAACUGUCUCAAGGACCUGCUCGGUGAAAAUACAAUGGCUGUGAAGAUGCAGCCUACCUGCAGUUAGACGAAAAGACCCCAGGAGCUUUACUGUAGUUUCUUAUUGGGGCUGUUUGAUUUAUGUGUAGCAUAGAUGGGAGACUUUGAAGCGGGCUUUCGGGUACCGUGGAGUCGUCAGUGAAAUACCAUUCUUAAAUCGGGCAGUUCCUAACCCGACGCGACAAACGCGUUGGGGACAGUGAGUGGCAGGCAGUUUUAGUGGGGCGCUACCCUUGGCGUUGUGAUCAUUUGAUCGUAACGCCAAACUGUGGCGCCUCCAGAGCAAAUAUCGGAAAUGAGUGUGAGACCUCAUCGCUCGAAACAAAUAAAUUGUGGGGGCAUUCCAUUAGGAAUGGGUAAUCAGCUAUAUGCUUAAAAACCCGAGAAU